GAUGAACGCUGGCGGCGUGCCUAAUACAUGCAAGUCGAGCGGUAAGGCCCAUCCAGUUUGCUUAAGCGGAGACAGGGUGAUUACGAAGUAAUCACCUCUUUCACCGAAGUGAUGUGUAAUCAUCAUUCCUCAAUACUAUGGCUAGUAACGAGGGUGCUUAAGUAAAGCGGUUGGGUACACGAGCGGCGGACGGCUGAGUAACACGUAGGAACGUACCCCAAACUGAGGGAUAACUGCUCGAAAGAGUAGCUAAUACCGCAUGUGCUCUUCGGAGUAAAGCUACGGCGGUUUGGGAACGGCCUGCGUAAGAUUAGCUAGUUGGUNAGGUAAUAGCUCACCAAGGCGACGAUCUUUAGCUGGUCUGAGAGGAUGAUCAGCCAGACU
rnacentral:rRNA from 1 species